GACGAACGCUGGCGGCGCGCUUCACACAUGCAAGUCGAACGAGAAGCCCGGGCUUGCCCGGGUGGAAAGUGGCGAACGGGUGAGUAACACGUGAGCAACCUGCCCCGAAGACCGGGAUAACACCGGGAAACCGGUGCUAAUACCGGAUGUCUUCGCCGGACCGCAUGAUCCGGCGAGGAAAUGGUCAGCCGCUUCGGGAUGGGCUCGCGGCCUAUCAGCUUGUUGGUGGGGUAACGGCCCACCAAGGCGACGACGGGUAGCUGGUCUGAGAGGGUGUCCAGCCACACUGGGACUGAGACACGGCCCAGACUCCUACGGGAGGCAGCAGUGGGGAAUCUUGCGCAAUGGGCGAAAGCCUGACGCAGCGACGCCGCGUGCGGGAUGAAGGCCUUCGGGUUGUAAACCGCUUUCAGCAGGGACGAAAUUGACGGUACCUGCAGAAGAAGCCCCGGCCAACUACGUGCCAGCAGCCGCCGUAAAAC
rnacentral:rRNA from 1 species